rnacentral:rRNA from 1 species
UACGUAGGGGGCGAGCGUUGUCCGGAAUUAUUGGGCGUAAAGAGCGUGUAGGCGGUUCGGUAAGUCUGCCGUGAAAACCUGAGGCUCAACCUCGGGCGUGCGGUGGAUACUGCCGGGCUAGAGGACGGUAGAGGCGAGUGGAAUUCCCGGUGUAGCGGUGAAAUGCGCAGAUAUCAGGAAGAACACCAAUGGCGAAAGCAGCUCUCUGGGACGGUACUGACGCUGAGACGCGAAAGCGUGGGGAGCGAACAGG